UAGCCUACCUGGUUAAAUAAAGGUGUUCUCAACUAGCCUACCUGGUUAAAUAAAGGUGUUCUCAACUAGCCUACCUGGUUAAAUAAAGGUGUUCUCUACUAGCCUACCUGGUUAAAUAAAGGUGUUCUCAACUAGCCUACCUGGUUAAAUAAAGGUGUUCUCAACUAGCCUACCUGGUUAAAUAAAGGUGUUCUCUACUAGCCUACCUGGUUAAAUAAAGGUGUUCUCAACUAGCCUACCUGGUUAAAUAAAGGUGUUCUCUACUAGCCUACCUGGUUAAAUAAAGGUGUUCUCAACUAGCCUACCUGGUUAAAUAAAGGUGUUCUCAACUAGCCUACCUGGUUAAAUAAAGGUGUUCUCAACUAGCCUACCUGGUUAAAUAAAGGUGUUCUCAACUAGCCUACCUGGUUAAAUAAAGGUGUUCUCUACUAGCCUACCUGGUUAAAUAAAGGUGUUCUCAACUAGCCUACCUGGUUAAAUAAAGGUGUUCUCAACUAGCCUACCUGGUUAAAUAAAGGUGUUCUCAACUAGCCUACCUGGUUAAAUAAAGGUGUUCUCAACUAGCCUACCUGGUUAAAUAAAGGUGUUCUCAACUAGCCUACCUGGUUAAAUAAAGGUGUUCUCAACUAGCCUACCUGGUUAAAUAAAGGUGUUCUCAACUAGCCUACCUGGUUAAAUAAAGGUGUUCUGAACUAGCCUACCUGGUUAAAUAAAGGUGUUCUCAACUAGCCUACCUGGUUAAAUAAAGGUGUUCUCAACUAGCCUACCUGGUUAAAUAAAGGUGUUCUCAACUAGCCUACCUGGUUAAAUAAAGGUGUUCUCAACUAGCCGACCUGGUUAAAUAAAGGUGUUCUCAACUAGCCUACCUGGUUAAAUAAAGGUGUUCUCAACCAGCCUACCUGGUUAAAUAAAGGUGUUCUCAACUAGCCUACCUGGUUAAAUAAAGGUGUUCUCAUCUAGCCUACCUGGUUAAAUAAAGGUGUUCUCAACUAGCCUACCUGGUUAAAUAAAGGUGUUCUCAACUAGCCUACCUGGUUAAAUAAAGGUGUUCUCAACUAGCCUACCUGGUUAAAUAAAGGUGUUCUCAACUAGCCUACCUGGUUAAAUAAAGGUGUUCUCAACUAGCCUACCUGGUUAAAUAAAGGUGUUCUCUACUAGCCUACCUGGUUAAAUAAAGGUGUUCUCAACUAGCCUACCUGGUUAAAUAAAGGUGUUCUCAACUAGCCUACCUGGUUAAAUAAAGGUGUUCUCAACUAGCCUACCUGGUUAAAUAAAGGUGUUCUCUACUAGCCUACCUGGUUAAAUAAAGGUGUUCUCAACUAGCCUACCUGGUUAAAUAAAGGUGUUCUCAACUAGCCUACCUGGUUAAAUAAAGGUGUUCUCAACUAGCCUACCUGGUUAAAUAAAGGUGUUCUCAACUAGCCUACCUGGUUUA